rnacentral:rRNA from 1 species
UACAUGGGGUGCAAACGUUGCUCGGAAUUAUUGGGCGUAAAGAGCGCGUAGGCGGUCCGAUAAGUCGGCUGUGAAAGUCAGGGGCUCAACCCUUGGAAGCCGGCCGAUACUGUCGGACUAGAGUCCGGAAGAGGCGAGUGGAAUUCCCGGUGUAGCGGUGAAAUGCGCAGAUAUCGGGAGGAACACCAAUGGCGAAGGCAGCUCGCUGGGACGGUACUGACGCUGAGGCGCGAAAGCGUGGGGAGCGAACAGG